rnacentral:lncRNA from 1 species
AUGCAAACUGUAACACAAGGGCCAUUAACCCUUUCUCUGCCGGGCACACUCAGUCCCCACGCCCCGCACCUAUUGUCUCCUGUGCUAGAAGCUUUGCAGAAAACCUGGAAAUUUUGGCCAGAAAUGGUGAGAAGAAAAAGCAUGAAGAAGCCGCGAAGUGUGGGGGAGAAAAAGGUGGAAGCGAAGAAACAGCUCCCGGAGCAAACUGUACAAAAACCUCGCCAAGAGUGUCGGGAGGCAGGACCGUUAUUCCUGCGGAGCAGGUUAGAACUGAUCUCUUUCGGCCACUCCAGGAAACACAAACCUGGGGACGGACUGACGUGUUACGCCUCUUCUAAUGACAUUUUUUUCUUUUUCUUUUCUGUAGGAGAGAGACGAGAGACCCUGAAACACGCGCCACCUAUCUUUGUGGGGAGGGAUAAUUGAAGCGCCCUGAGCGUGAGCAUCAUGUGAAAACGUGAUCGCCAAGUUUCUCUCUGGGAAAGGAUCUGGGAUAGAUUAUACCUUGAAGUCUCCGCAAACGCUUUAGUGGAAGAAAUGAAAUUCCACCUCCCUCCCUUCCUCCUCUCCCUCCCUUUCGCCUUCGCCUCCCUCCCCCCUCCCUCCCUUCUCCUCCCCCCUCCCCCCCCCCGCCCGUCAAGCCUUUGGCAUCAUUAUCCUCAUCACUAAAUCCUACAGAGUACAGGGCGGAAAACGGUGCACACCAUUCACAGAACUGGAGAACUCCAAGGGGCGAAAGUUAAAGGGAAAGAUCCCGGGUCCUCAAUCCAGAUCGUCUCUUCUUAUACAGAUAUCUCUAAUGACCAGAUUUGAGAUGCACAUCAAAUUGUGUAGCUAUCUCAGUACAGCUUCUGGAACAAAAUUCACUGCCCUUUCCCUUAUUAUUAUUUUUUUUCUUUUUAGGUACCAGAGCCAGAAAAAAAAAAAAAAAAAAAAAAAGUGCUGCAUGGGAGCUGCAUCUUUGGGCAUGUGUGUUAGGGUGUGUGCAUGAUGAAUUUCUGCACUGGAUCCCAAUAUUAAAAAGUAGUUUGCCAUUUUAAUAAAGGGUCUCUAAGUAAAUUAACA